UGUUUUACAAGCAGAUAUUUUCUUUGAUAAAUGUUGGUUUCAUCUAUCACACAGGAAUCUCUGGUUACUGGGUGUCACAGCAGUAAACGCUUCUGGUUGACUGGUGUUGAAAGAGUUAAAACAACUAAUAUUGUCCAUCUUUUUACCUGCGAUGUCAUUGUGAUGAAACUGCACGAACAGCUCUUUGAUAAACAAUUACAAACUUACGUUACCACAAACACUGGACCCAUAUUAUACAUAAAUACCUCUAACAUUUCUUCCUGAACCUAUGAGCUAAACGCACCCAUGAUGUCACUGAGUCUGGAGAAUUGAUACCACUAAUAUUUACUGCAUGUUGGACUUUACCAUUAUGGUGCCUUAAACAGCUAUUCUUGAGUCGAAUAGCACAGCCAGUCAGACACAAUAUACAAUUGUCUGUUUUGUCUGAUGGUUCUGGUUUUUCCCUUUUUUUUACUUUGAAUAAAGCUAAACUUUGUAUGAUUGUACUGUGAUUCAAUGUGGAGGUAAAAGAAUCUUAAACAGUGGACAGAACUCAAUAAGUUUUCUUCCACAAUAUAUUGCAGUACGUAUUGCAAUACAGAGGAAUGUAUCGCAAUAUAUCGCAAUACGAAAUUUGGGGCAAUACACAGCCCUAAUUGUUAGAUUUUAAAGUAUCAUCAUAGUAACCAAACAUGAAUUAAAUUAAUAAGCUAACCUAAAUAUUUAACAUUUAUUUUACUAAAUACUUGUGUUAACUUCAGCACUUGCACAAAUCUACUAAUUCACAGGUAAGCUAGUUCUGUAUAUAGCUUGGGUAGUUCAGCCAUUUCUUUCUUGGCUAUUGUCAAUGGGUCGGUCACAUGCUUGGCCUGUGAUUAGGUGCUCUUUGUGAUCUAGCUUUGUUGCAUGUUCUCUGCAAUUAUGUGGGGAGACUGAUCACACUUCUACUGGUCAGUCAGGACAUAUUUUCUCAACACGUUCUCUGCACUGAAUCAUAUAGGGUAAGUUCAUUUAAUUAUUACUUUAUUUAUCUGGAAGCUUAGGUUAUGUAUUUUAAUCAUUGUUGUUGGAUAUAGUAUUUUGGCUAGCAUUUUAUUAUGACAUUGUAAUGUAUUCUUAAUUCAACUUAACUGUGUAUUUUACUGAGAUAAUAGCCAAAUGUACAUUUUAUAAAAUAGAUUUAAACUGGUUAGAAGUGAUAUAUGUAUAUGUAUAUAUGUAUAGUAUUUUGUAGAAUUUAUAAUGCUUGUAUUCCAUACACGCUAGUGUAACUGUGGCUAUGUAAUAUAUUUAUAUGUAGUAUACUUAUUUGUGCAGGGCUAUUUCACUGCACAUCUCUAUAAGAGAGUUUCCAGCCUGCGUCCCUGAGACGAGCAAGGGGGAAAAUGUUACACGACCAUUCCAGGAGAUAAAAUCAAGAAUGUUGAAUCUUUGAGGAUCACACCAAAUAAACCCUGGGCUGUGAAUUAUGUUAACGGAAGUGGAAGUGAACACCAAAGAAAGAAGAUUCUGGCAUUUAAUAAUUUCGAAAAGUGUAUACAUUUUCAAUUAUCUAAAAAUAUUAAAAUGUCAACACAAAUAAGUCUUGGAGUUCUUUGUUGAUUGUGUUUUGUUUGUUUGUUGUUUAACGUCACACU
rnacentral:lncRNA from 1 species